UCAAGGCCAUUAUUAUAUCUACUAAAUAGUGAUGUGUCGGUCACGAACGAUUCGUUCAGUAUGAACUAAUCCUUUAUAUGACUCGGGAGUAACGGGUUCUCUCAGUGAGCGAUUC